UUCGAAGUAUUCCUAUGCAAGGUGUAAGUAUAGAUAAGCGAGUUACGCAAAGGCCGGUUUCUUAACUAAACGAGCAUGUCGCCUCAUGUUCCCCUCACUGGUAGCCGCUGCCCGCUGGGCUGGGCAGUGGGCAAGUUAGUAUCGUAACUAUCGUCUCCCCCUCGCUUGAGGCGAUCAUUCUCGAGGUUCUUGGAAUUCAGUACAUUACUGCCACGGUGAUUUGUACUUUAUAUGGCUGCUGUAACACAGAAAAGGACAACGUUUGAAGUUAAAAAGUUAGCUUUUACCGUUUCCCGAAAGAUCCCUAAAUGUGUAGGAAGUGGGUGAACAUCUACAGAAGUGGUGACCACAUAAACACCGAAAACGCAAGAGUGUGUUCGGUUCAUUUUGAACAAAAUGAUUCUGCAAGAAACCUCAGGCAUGAAUUGCUUAACUACUACCAUACAAAUGCAAGAAAAUCGAAGGAUGAUGCCAUACCCCACCAACGCUUACUUCUGCAGGAUAGUGCCACUGCUAAUUCAGCUUGCCCAUUGUGGGAUGCCCAGCAUGGCCCAGUAUAGUGGCAUGUGUGCUGCUGUAGUGCCAUUACAAACUUAAAUAAGCCGAGGUUCCUGAAUCAGGAGCUAUGGCGCUGUUAAGGAUAAACUACUGGUGAAUUACGUCUAGAUGCGGCACGAUGAGCAGGAGAUUGUAAGCAAGAGAUCAUACCUAUGCAAAGAACAUAUGGCCAUUGGAAAUGAAUAUUGAAGCAAGUUCUCACAGCACGUAAUAUAAAUCAUAAACCAACACCGAGUUAUUACAGAAGCAUUUCUGGACUGAGGUGGUGAGAGGGUUCACCUUGACAAUAUGUGAGGCUCAAAUGUUUUGAAAGUGUUAAGCAAAGGCUUUAGAAAGUGAAAAGUGUAGUAAGUACAGGCAGUCCCUGGGUCAUGUCAGGUUUGGGUUACAUUAUUCCGGACUUACAGUGCUUGCCUCACAGCGCUGUUAAUUACGAUUUUUUGGUACCGUUACCCACACUUACGGCGCUUAUAGCACUGUAAGUGCUAUUUGUUCCCAUUAUAAUUAUGAUGCUUCAAGUUCAGCAAUUUUUGGCUUACGGCAAGUCGCCAGGGACAGAACCCUGCCAUUAACCAAGGGCUGCCUGUACCAGACAUGGAUGGUAGAAAGUUGUUAAUAUUAGCUCUAGCACAUGCCUACUUCAAUAUUUAAUGCCCCAGCCUGUGAAACCAUAUGACUGUUGGCUGAUGUUUAUGAAAACUGUAGUGCAGUGUUUUAAACUGUUGCUAAAACCUAUUGUGCAGUCCAGUCUUUGAAAGGUCUUCUACUAAAAUUUCCCACUUUAGACUGAGCUUAUAAAUUAAGUGGAAGAGUAUGUAGUGGAAAGGCUUGAAAUGAAGAAAAAGUGUUAAAAGUAAAAUUUCACUGAUAGUAAUGACGACGACUGCCUUGUGACGUGUGCUUGAUGAACACUGGAUUCAAUGCAUUACAUAACAUUUAACUGGUUAGGCUUGAUUUGAAGUACAGUUCUUAUUUUAAAGCUGGACAGAUUUUGUACUCCAUAAAUCAAUCAAGCUUUACAAAGAAGGAAAUGCCAAUCUGGUCUUGCUGUGCAUGGUUCACAGUAUUUUGUUGUCACCAUUUACACUACUAAAGUAGUACUCAUAAAACUGUUGUAAAAAUAAUUUACGAUGAAAUUACCUUUGAGCUAUCAUAAAUAUGAUGGCCACCAUAGUUUAGGUAAUACAUUAAUGACUGACUGUGUUCUUA